GACGAACGCUGGCGGCGUGCUUAACACAUGCAAGUCGAACGAUGAAGAAGAGAAACGCGAACUUCGGUUCAAAUUUCACUUCGGAUUAGUGGCUGACGGGUGAGUAACGCGUGAGCAACCUACCUCUUACAAAGGGAUAGCCUCGGGAAACCGUGAUUAAUACCAUAUGACACAUUCAUAAGGCAUCUUAAGAAUGUUAAAGCUACGGCGGUAAGAGAUGGGCUCGCGUCCCAUUAGCUAGUUGGUGAGGUAACGGCCCACCAAGGCGACGAUGGGUAACCGGCCUGAGAGGGUGAACGGUCACAUUGGAACUGAGACACGGUCCAAACUCCUACGGGAGGCAGCAGUGGGGAAUAUUGCACAAUGGAGGGAACUCUGAUGCAGCGACGCCGCGUGAGCGAUGAAGGAAUUCGUUUCGUAAAGCUCUGUUCUAUGGGAAGAAAAGGACUGUACCAUAGGAGAAAGCCCCGGCUAAAUACGUG
rnacentral:rRNA from 1 species